AAAAAUUUAGUUUAACAUUCAAAACGUUAGUUUGUCAGACUAAAAAUAUUACUUUAAUAAUUUUUU
rnacentral:tRNA from 1 species